rnacentral:rRNA from 1 species
UGGGGAAUUUUGGACAAUGGGGGAAACCCUGAUCCAGCCAUGCCGCGUGCGGGAAGAAGGCCUUCGGGUUGUAAACCGCUUUUGUUCGGGAAGAAAAGGCCAAGGCUAAUAUCCUUGGUUCUUGACGGUACCGGGAGAAUAAGCACCGGCUAACUACGUGCCAGCAGCCGCGGUAAUACGUAGGGUGCGAGCGUUAAUCGGAAUUACUGGGCGUAAAGCGUGCGCAGGCGGUAAGUUAAGUCUGAUGUGAAAGCCCCGGGCUCAACCUGGGAAUGGCAUUGGAAACUGGCUUGCUUGAGUGUAGCAGAGGGGGGUGGAACUCCGCGUGUAGCAGUGAAAUGCGUAGAGAUGCGGAAGAACACCGAUGGCGAAGGCAGCCCCCUGGGCUAACACUGACGCUCAGGCACGAAAGCGUGGGGAGCAAACA